GUGCUCGCUUCUUUAGCACAUAUAGUAAAAUUGGAACAAUACAGAAAGGAUUAGCAUGGCCCUUGCACAAGGAUGACACGCAAAUUCAUGAAGUGUUUCAUAUUCUA